CAAGGUGGCAAUAGUAGCGGUGAAACACCUCUAACCAUUCCGAACAGAGAAGUUAAGACCGCCUGCGCCGAUGGUACUGCCAGAAAAGGCGGGAGAGUAGGAGGCUGCCAUGG
rnacentral:rRNA from 1 species